rnacentral:rRNA from 1 species
CUGCAGCCCGAGUGGUGAUCGAUUUUAUUGAGCCUAAAGCGUCCGUAGCCGGACAAGUAAACCCUUGGGUAAAUUGGGCAGCUUAACUGUCCAAAUUCCGAGGGGACUGCUAGUCUUGGGACCGGGAGAGGUCAGAGGUACUCAAGGGGUAGGGGCUAAAUCCUGUAAUCCUUUGGGGACCACCAGUGGCGAAAGCGUCUGACUAGAACGGAUCCGACGGUAAGGGACGAAACCCUGGGGCGCGAACCGGAUUAGAUACCCGAGUAGUCC